ACGGUGGAUGCCCUGGCAGUCAGAGGCGAUGAAGGGCGUGCUAAUCUGCGAUAAGCGCCGGUAAGGUGAUAUGAACCGUUAUAACCGGCGAUACCCGAAUGGGGAAACCCAGUGUGAUUCGUCACACUAUCAUUAACUGAAUCCAUAGGUUAAUGAGGCGAACCGGGGGAACUGAAACAUCUAAGUACCCCGAGGAAAAGAAAUCAACCGAGAUUCCCCCAGUAGCGGCGAGCGAACGGGGAGGAGCCCAGAGCCUGAAUCAGCAUGUGUGUUAGUGGAAGCGUCUGGAAAGGCGCGCGAUACAGGGUGACAGCCCCGUACACAAAAGCGCAUGUGCUGUGAGCUCGAUGAGUAGGGCGGGACACGUGGUAUCCUGUCUGAAUAUGGGGGGACCAUCCUCCAAGGCUAAAUACUCCUGACUGACCGAUAGUGAACCAGUACCGUGAGGGAAAGGCGAAAAGAACCCCGGCGAGGGGAGUGAAAAAGAACCUGAAACCGU
rnacentral:rRNA from 1 species